rnacentral:misc_RNA from 1 species
UCGAGUUUUUGAACGGGUUGUUGCUGGCCUCAUACGGGGGCAUGUGCACGCCUGACUUCAUCCACUCUUCAACCCCUGUGCACUUAUUGUAGGCUAGCGUGAAAGGUCGCAUUCAUUUGCGGCUGGGGAGCCUGUCUACGUUUUACUACAAACGCUUCAGUUAUAGAAUGUUUAUCUGCGUAUAACGCAUUUAUAUA